rnacentral:rRNA from 1 species
CCUACGGGCGGCAGCAGUGGGGAAUAUUGCACAAUGGGCGCAAGCCUGAUGCAGCCAUGCCGCGUGUGUGAAGAAGGCCUUCGGGUUGUAAAGCACUUUCAGCGGGGAGGAAGGCGGUGAGGUUAAUAACCUCAUCGAUUGACGUUACCCGCAGAAGAAGCACCGGCUAACUCCGUGCCAGCAGCCGCGGUAAUACGGAGGGUGCAAGCGUUAAUCGGAAUUACUGGGCGUAAAGCGCACGCAGGCGGUCUGUCAAGUCGGAUGUGAAAUCCCCGGGCUCAACCUGGGAACUGCAUUCGAAACUGGCAGGCUAGAGUCUUGUAGAGGGGGGUAGAAUGCCAGGUGUAGCGGUGAAAUGCGUAGAGAUCUGGAGGAAUACCGGUGGCGAAGGCGGCUCCCUGGACAAAGACUGACGCUCAGGUGCGAAAGCGUGGGGAGCAAACAGGAUUAGAUACCCUUGUAGUC